CUUUUGCGACAAUAAUACCUUCAUAUAUUUUUGACCUUAAUUUAAUUCUAUAUGUGACAGGGCUAGCUUUGUGUCACUUUGCUGCACUUGUGGUAGCUUAGCUUAACAUGCUGUUGGCGUAGUUCCUAAAAUGUCAUGCAGAGGGCAGUGAUGCGGCUCUUUAUAUUACAAAGCGGGAAACAUCCGAAUAAGAGUACAGGAUUGCAUGAUGGGAAACAACAAAGAUAAAACUAUAAUUAUAUUGCUAAUAGUCUUUAAAUUGUGUCUUUGGGAUAUGGAUAUCCGAAAGCUGAUUGCAGUUUGAUAGCCAAGCCGUUGUUCUUGUUUUGUAGUCAAAAAAAUGUUAAUACCAUCAUAUAGACUGUUAUGUGGGAGAAUGAGUACAGCACGAGAGCCGUGUACAACUCAUACUUACCUGGCAGGGGAGACACCAUGAUCAAGAAGGUGGUUCACCCAGGGCGAGGCUCAGCCAUUGCACUUCGGCUGUGCUGACCCGUGCGAAUUCCUCAAAUGUGGGAAUCUCGACUGCAUAAUUUGUGGUAGUGGGGGACUGCGUUCGCGCUCUCCCCUGAUAAUAUUGUGGAAAAUAAAUAUUUUGGUGAUUAUGUAAUAUAUCCCUUUAAGUUCUCUCUGUAGCGGACUCGUGUUUGGUUUACUAAAGGCAUAAUGGUAUUUUCACAUAAAUCGGCCAUAACUCAACCAUUGUUAACAUAAUCUGAACCAAAAAAAUAGAAUAAUUUUGGGCAGUAGUACGUGGUAUUUUGACGAAAUUGUGGAUAAUUUAGGAUUACGGUUUGUUAAAUUUCCCAAACUUUCAAGGUACAGCAAAAUCGAUCCCGACGGACCGUAUUGGUGGCGAAUACAACUGUGCAUUAUAUUACAAGUUUAAACAAUAUCAUUUUAUUUCUAGUAAUUUGUGAUAGAAGUGUUUUGGAUAUUGUUCGGCUCUGAAUUUGGGGUUAGAACUGAAUUAAGGGCGCUUCAACUUCUUCUUCGGCUUCUUGUUAGGAGCGGGACCUAUUGUUUGCGUGGUGGACCGGGGAUUUUUUUUUAACAUUGUUGUGCGAGUGACUGCUAAACAUUCAGUGACGUUAAUGUCACCUGUGUUGUUUCCCUUUUCCCUCGAAACUGAAUUUCACCAAAAUAAUGGCGAAUUCCGCUGCAUUCCGCUGCAUAUUGUAAAUGUGACGUCUGAUGUGCCUUGUCCCUGUUGCAUGUUAUAUGUGCUGAAGAACAGGAACCUGCUGGAAAUCAGUUAUUUUACUAAGACAGGCCCGUUUUAAAUUGUAACUUUGUUACUUUUAAUACUUUCCUGCUUAAUAAAAUAAUUAAAAAAAAAAAAAAAAAUUAUCAGUUGAU
ensembl:lncRNA